UGAAGCGGGAUGAGCUCAAAUUUGUAAUCUGGUGGACUCAGUUCAUCCGAGUUGUAAUCUAUAGAAGUGUUUUCCGCGCUGGACCGUGUCUAAGUCCCUUGGAACAGGGUGUCAGAGAGGGUGAGAAUCCCGUGCUUGAUACGACCACCAGUGCUAUGUGAUACACUUUCAACGAGUCGAGUUGUUUGGGAAUGCAGCUCAAAAUGGGUGGUAAAUUCCAUCUAAAGCUAAAUAUUGGCGAGAGACCGAUAGCGAACAAGUACCGUGAGGGAAAGAUGAAAAGCACUUUGGAAAGAGAGUUAAACAGUACGUGAAAUUGUUAAAAGGGAAACGAUUGAAGUCAGUCGUGCUCUCUGGGACUCAGCCGGUUCUUCCGGUGUACUUCCCAGUGAGCGGGUCAACAUCAGUUUAGAUCGCUGGAUAAAGGUAUUAGGAAGGUGGCUCCCUCGGGAGUGUUAUAGCCUAGUAUCGCAUACAGUGGUUUAGACUGAGGAACGCAGCUCGCCUUUAUGGCCGGGGUUCGCCCACGUCCGAGCUUAGGAUGUUGACAUAAUGGCUUUAAACGACCCGUCUUGAAACACGG
rnacentral:rRNA from 1 species